AUUGAACGCUGGCGGCAGGCCUAACACAUGCAAGUCGAACGAGUGGCGGACGGGUGAGUAAUUUCUGGGAAACUGCCUGCUGUCGGGGGAUAACUACUUGGAACGGUAGCUCAUACCGCAUACCCUCUGAUGUGCCCAGAUGUGAUUAGCUAGUAGUUGGGGUAAAGGCUCACCUAGGCGACGAUCCCUCGCUGGUCUGAGAGGGUGACCAGCCACACUGGAAAGGAGACACGGUCCAGACGCCUACGGGAGGCAGCAGUGGGGAAUAUUGCACAAUGGGCGAAAGCCUGAUGCAGCCAUGCCGCGUGUAUGAAGAAGGCCUUCGGGUUGUAAAGUACUUUCAGCGUGGAGGCGUUACUCGCAGAAGAAGCACCGGCUAACUCCGUGCCAGCAGCCGCGGUAAUUC
rnacentral:rRNA from 1 species